GAGCCCCCCAGGUCUUAGAAGGGUGGUUGCUAGUGAUAGUAGCUUUGGUAUAUCUGGUGGGUGGCUGAAGACCCAGCUCAGACCUAAAGAAAAUGAGGAAAAGCAGAGGGGUAAGAAAGAGAGAUGCCAUUAGCUUUGUAGUCUAAACAUACCUAUUUUUCUCAUUGCUGUGAGUUCCUUUUUUGGUUCUCUGGAACACAAUGCAAUAUCAAGUGCUUUGACUAGUGCUUUGUGCCCAGCAGGUGGUUGUCUGAUGAGCAGGAGACAGCAUGAAGCCAGUAACAACAGCAUUGACCUAUGAGGUCUGUUAGACUCCAGGGAAAUCUCUACAGCAGCAUCCCUCGAGGCAGUCUCUACAUACAACUCCUGGAUGGGUUUCUGCUCUUAGACAAAUGGAGACUGACCUCGAAUCCUGUCUUUGGAGUCCCAAGAGAGCUCUUCUCUCCUUAUCUCAAG
rnacentral:lncRNA from 1 species